UUCCGGUUGAUCCCGCCGGACCCUACUGCUAUCGGGGUGGGACUAAUACAUGUUAGUCGAGCGUCUCCGAACUAUGGCAGAGACGCGGCGUACGGCUCAGUAACACGUGGCUAACCUAACCUUGGGACGGAGAAAACCCCGGGAAACUGGGGCUAAUACCCGAUGGGUGAGGAUGCCUGGAAUGGUUCCUCACUGAAAAGGCGUCUCGACCAUGCUUCCUGGCGUCGCCCAAGGAUGGGGCCGCGGCCGAUCAGGUUGUUGGCGAGGUAAAGGCUCACCAAGCCUAUAACCGGUACGGGCCGUGAGAGCGGGAGCCCGGAGAUGGGCACUGAGACAAGGGCCCAGACCCUACGGGGCGCAGCAGUUGCGAAAACUCUGCAAUGCGCGAAAGCGUGACAGGGCUACCCCGAGUGCCGUCCGCUGAGGAUGGCUUUUCCCGAGUGUAAUGAGCUAGGGGAAUAAGGAGAGGGCAAGACUGGUGUCAGCCGCCGCGGUAAUACCAGCUCUCCGAGUGGUAGGGAUGAUUAUUGGGCUUAAAGCGUCCGUAGCCGGCCUAGCAAGUCUCUCGUUAAAUCCAGCGACCUAAUCGUUGGACUGCGGGAGAUACUGUUAGGCUAGGGGACGGGAGAGGCCGACGGUAUUCUCGGGGUAGGGGUGAAAUCCUAUAAUCCCGGGAGGACCACCAGUGGCGAGGGCUGUCGGCUAGAACGCGCUCGACGGUGAGGGACGAAAGCUGGGGGAGCGAACCGGAUUAGAUACCCGGGUAGUCCCAGCUGUAAACGAUGCGGGCUAGUGUUGGGGUGGUUACGAACCACUUCAGUGCCGCAACGAAAGGCAUUAAGCCCGCCGCCUGGGGAGUACGGCCGCAAGGCUGAAACUUAAAGGAAUUGGCGGGGGAGCACACCAGGCGUGAAGCUUGCGGUUAA
rnacentral:rRNA from 1 species